rnacentral:lncRNA from 1 species
UUUAUUUGUCCGGUAUUUUACCGUUUUUCCAAAUUAUGCUUAAUUUGAUCGGAAAUAUUCAUUUUAAUUAAUUUGAAUUUUUUGAGCUAAUUAUUUGCAUUAUUAUUUUCAGGGAAAAUUUUUGACAAACAAUUUGGAGCAUUGGGAAGGAGACAAAAUAAAUUCAAGACUCUCAAAUUAGACAUUUUAAAUUUUAGUUAUAUUGUAAUUUAAUUGUUUAAACUUUUUAGACAAACUUUUGCACAUUGGGNCAUUGUUGGCAAAAAUAUGAUGGGCCCAAGUAGUAGACACUUGUCACCCNAGGGUUUCCUUNUAUUUUAGGGNGGACCCCACCCAUUUUGGAGGCAACACUUGGUCUCUUAGUAAUGACCAACCGUCACAUGAAAGAGGGCUCUCGGUAAUUUUAUUUUGGGGAGNUGGCAGCGUCAAUUUUUAUGNAUUUUUCUGNUGGGAACNUCUUGGAUUUUUCUUGGAAGGAUGUGUAUUUUAUUUGAAUAUGGAUGAAGGAGAAUGAAGAGCUCACGGCAUUUUCUUUUGUGCUGCACCCAAAUUCCUCUUGUCUACUUUUGUUUGCUUUUCUUCAAGAUGUGAUGAUUCAAUUGGAUAAAGUUAGGGGUGGAGAACGGUCAUAGCUAGCAGGAAGAAGGCUGCUUCAGCAGAUUUGAUUCUCGGUGCAUUUCUUUAAUUUCACUUCUUUAUUGUUGAAUGAAGANCACGGUUCUUAUCACUUUGAUGAGUAGAAAUGUGAUUGAAGGCUUGGAAAAGUUAUUUUCAAUUUCUUUGUUAAUGAAGAAGUAAUGAAGAUGUGAGUAGGUGCUAGUAAGUUGUGAUGGGACAUUGGCAUCCAUUUAUUGUAACGAUGCAUUUCUUUUGCUUAUUUGAAGAAAGAUGAAUGAAGAGGUAGAUUAGGUGAGUGUGGGUCCGUUGAUGUUGACUCCAUGGUGUGCAUGUUGGAAGAUAGUCUUAAUCUUUUUUUCUCUUCACUCAAUACUAUCGGUUUCAAUUUGAUUAGUUAGGUUUUUUUUUUAUUUUAAUUUGAGAAUUUGUGAUGUGAUGGAUGCAGAGGCUUCAUGCCAUUAAAGUGUUUCUUUAACUAGUUGAUGAAAUUAGUAGUAGAUUAGGUAGACUAGGAGGUUGGGACGUGACUUGGUAAUGAGUUUUUUUUUUUUAUUUCUUUUAUUUCUUUGUUGAAGGAUGAGGAAUAGAUUUACGGGCUUCAUGUGCUGGCAAACCAUUUCCACUUUCAAUUUAUUUUUUU